rfam:Chilli veinal mottle virus complete sequence, genomic RNA
CGAAUUCAAGCAAUCAAGCAUUCAAGCGCUCUUUUA